GAUGAACGCUGGCGGCGUGCCUAAUACAUGCAAGUCGAGCGAACAGACGAGGAGCUUGCUCCUCUGACGUUAGCGGCGGACGGGUGAGUAACACGUGGAUAACCUACCUAUAAGACUGGGAUAACUUCGGGAAACCGGAGCUAAUACCGGAUAAUAUAUUGAACCGCAUGGUUCAAUAGUGAAAGACGGUUUUGCUGUCACUUAUAGAUGGAUCCGCGCCGCAUUAGCUAGUUGGUAAGGUAACGGCUUACCAAGGCGACGAUGCGUAGCCGACCUGAGAGGGUGAUCGGCCACACUGGAACUGAGACACGGUCCAGACUCCUACGGGAGGCAGCAGUAGGGAAUCUUCCGCAAUGGGCGAAAGCCUAACGGAGCAACGCCGCGUGAGUGAUGAAGGUCUUCGGAUCGUAAAACUCUGUUAUUAGGGAAGAACAAAUGUGUAAGUAACUAUGCACGUCUUGACGGUACCUAAUCAGAAAGCCGCGGCUAACUACGUG
rnacentral:rRNA from 1 species